rnacentral:rRNA from 1 species
GACGAACGCUGGCGGCGUGCUUAACACAUGCAAGUCGAACGGUAAGGCUCCAGCUUGCUGGGGUACACGAGUGGCGAACGGGUGAGUAACACGUGGGUGACCUGCCCUGCACUUCGGGAUAAGCCUGGGAAACUGGGUCUAAUACCGGAUAGGACCGCACCGUGAGGGUGUGGUGGAAAGUUUUUUCGGUGUGGGAUGGGCCCGCGGCCUAUCAGCUUGUUGGUGGGGUAAUGGCCUACCAAGGCGGCGACGGGUAGCCGGCCUGAGAGGGUGGACGGCCACAUUGGGACUGAGACACGGCCCAGACUCCUACGGGAGGCAGCAGUGGGGAAUAUUGCACAAUGGGCGGAAGCCUGAUGCAGCGACGCCGCGUGGGGGAUGACGGCCUUCGGGUUGUAAACUCCUUUCACCAUCGACGAAGGGUUUCUGACGGUAGAUGGAGAAGAAGCACCGGCUAACUACGUGCCAGCAGCCGCGGUAAUACGUAGGGUGCGAGCGUUGUCCGGAAUUACUGGGCGUAAAGAGCUCGUAGGUGGUUUGUCGCGUCGUCUGUGAAAUUCCGGGGCUUAACUCCGGGCGUGCAGGCGAUACGGGCAUAACUUGAGUACUGUAGGGGAGACUGGAAUUCCUGGUGUAGCGGUGAAAUGCGCAGAUAUCAGGAGGAACACCGGUGGCGAAGGCGGGUCUCUGGGCAGUAACUGACGCUGAGGAGCGAAAGCAUGGGGAGCGAACAGGAUUAGAUACCCUGGUAGUCCAUGCCGUAAACGGUGGGCGCUAGGUGUGGGUUUCCUUCCACGGGAUCCGUGCCGUAGCUAACGCAUUAAGCGCCCCGCCUGGGGAGUACGGCCGCAAGGCUAAAACUCAAAGGAAUUGACGGGGGCCCGCACAAGCGGCGGAGCAUGUGGAUUAAUUCGAUGCAACGCGAAGAACCUUACCUGGGCUUGACAUAUACAGGAUCGCGCCAGAGAUGGUGUUUCCCUUGUGGCUUGUAUACAGGUGGUGCAUGGUUGUCGUCAGCUCGUGUCGUGAGAUGUUGGGUUAAGUCCCGCAACGAGCGCAACCCUUGUCUUAUGUUGCCAGCACGUUGUGGUGGGGACUCGUAAGAAACUGCCGGGGUUAACUCGGAGGAAGGUGGGGAUGACGUCAAAUCAUCAUGCCCCUUAUGUCCAGGGCUUCACACAUGCUACAAUGGUCGGUACAGUGGGUUGCCAGUCCGUGAGGGCGAGCUAAUCCCGCAAAGCCGGUCUCAGUUCGGAUCGGGGUCUGCAACUCGACCCCGUGAAGUCGGAGUCGCUAGUAAUCGCAGAUCAGCAACGCUGCGGUGAAUACGUUCCCGGGUCU